GCGCGAAAACUUUACAAUGCUGGCAACAGCGAUAAGGGAACCUCGAGUGCCAGGUUACAAAUCUGGCUGUCGAGAUGCCUAAAAAGCAUUUCAUAGCAAGGGCCGGGCAAGACCGGUGCCAGCCGCCGCGGUAACACCGGCGGCUCGAGUGGUAACCGUUAUUAUUGGGUCUAAAGGGUCUGUAGCCGGCCGGAUAAGUCUCUUGGGAAAUCUGGCAGCUCAACUGUCAGGCUUUCAGGAGAUACUGUCUGGCUCGAGGCCGGGAGAGGUGAGAGGUACUUCAGGGGUAGGGGUGAAAUCUUGUACUCCUUGAAGGACCAUCAGUGGCGAAGGCGUCUCACCAGACCGGACCUGACGGCAAGGGACGAGAGCUAGGGGCACGAACCG
rnacentral:rRNA from 1 species